rnacentral:rRNA from 1 species
ACGGUGACGGACGGGUGAGUAAUUUGUAAGAAUCGACAUUCAGGAGGGGGACAACAAUCGGAAACGUUUGCUAAUACCCCAUAUCGCUAUUAAGUGAAAGAUUUAUCGCCUGAAUACGAGCUUGCAUCUGAUUAGCUAGUUGGUAGGGUAAAGGCUUACCAAGGCAACGAUCAGUAGCUGGUUUGAGAAGAUGAUCAGCCACACUGGGACUGAGACACGGAACAGACUCCUACGGGAGGCAGCAGUGAGGAAUUUUCCGCAAUGAGUGAAAGCUUGACGGAGCAAUGCCGCGUGGAGGAGGAAGGCCUUAGGGUUGUAGUCUCCUUUUCUCAUAGAAGAAUUCAUGACGGUAUUUGAGGAAUAAGCAUCGGCUAAUUUCGUGCCAGCAGCCGCGGUAAUACGAGAGAUGCAAGCGUUAUCCGGAAUUAUUGGGCGUAAAGAGUUAGUAGGUGGUUCAAUGUGUUUAAUGUUAAAGAUCCGAGCUCAACUUUGAAAUGGCAUUAAAAACUAUUGUACUUGGGUAUGAUAGAGGUAAAGGGAAUUCCCAGUGUAGCGGUGAAAUGCGUAGAUAUUGGGAAGAACACCAACGGCGAAAGCACUUUACUAGGUUAAUACUGACACUGAGAAACGAAAGCUAAGGUAGCAAACUGGAUUAGAUACCCAGGUAGUCUUAGCUGUAAACAAUGGAUACUAAGUGGUGCUUUUCAUUUGUGCUGCUGUAGUUAACACGUUAAGUAUCCCGCCUGGGGAGUACGCUUGCAAAAGUGAAACUCAAAGGAAUUGACGGGGGCCCGCACAAGCGGUGGAGCAUGCGGUUUAAUUCGACAACGCGAAGAACCUUACCCAGGCUGGACAUGCAGGUAGUAGAAGGGUGAAAGCCCAACGAGGUAGCAAUACCAUCCUGCUCAGGUGCUGCAUGGCUGUCGUCAGCUCGUGCCGUGAGGUGUUGGGUUAAGUCCCGCAACGAGCGCAACCCCUGUCUUCAGUUACCAACGGGUCAUGCCGGGAACUCUGGAGAGACUGCCCAGGAGAACGGGGAGGAAGGUGGGGAUGACGUCAAGUCAGCAUGGCCUUUAUGCCUGGGGCUACACACGUGCUACAAUGGCCGGUACAAAGCGCUGCAAACCCGUAAGGGGGAGCCAAUCGCAAAAAACCGGCCUCAGUUCAGAUUGAGGUCUGCAACUCGACCUCAUGAAGGCGGAAUCGCUAGUAAUCCCGGAUCAGCACGCCGGGGUGAAUACGUUCCCGGGCCUUGUACACACCGCCCGUCACACCACGAAAGUUUGUUGUACCUGAAGUCGUUGGCGCCAACCGCAAGGAGGCAGACGCCCACGGUAUGACAGAUGAUUGGGGUGAAGUCGUAACAAGGUA